rnacentral:rRNA from 1 species
UCAGGAUGAACGCUAGCUAUAGGCUUAACACAUGCAAGUCGAGGGGCAGCAUGUCGGUUGCUUGCAACCGAUGAUGGCGACCGGCGCACGGGUGAGUAACGCGUAUCCAACCUACCCUUGUCCAUCGGAUAACCCGUCGAAAGGCGGCCUAACACGAUAUGCGGUUCUCAGCAGGCAUCUAACGAGAACGAAAUGUGAAGGAGAAGGAUGGGGAUGCGUCUGAUUAGCUUGUUGGCGGGGUAACGGCCCACCAAGGCGACGAUCAGUAGGGGUUCUGAGAGGAAGGUCCCCCACAUUGGAACUGAGACACGGUCCAAACUCCUACGGGAGGCAGCAGUGAGGAAUAUUGGUCAAUGGACGGGAGUCUGAACCAGCCAAGUAGCGUGCAGGAUGACGGCCCUAUGGGUUGUAAACUGCUUUUAUAGGGGGAUAAAGUGUGCCACGUGUGGCAUAUUGCAGGUACCCUAUGAAUAAGGACCGGCUAAUUCCGUG